rfam:Brachypodium distachyon strain Bd21 chromosome 2, whole genome shotgun sequence.
UUCGUAUUCCUCCGUCCAACAAAAGAUGUCUCAAAAUUGUCAAAAUUUGAAUGUAUCUAGACAUGACUUAAUAUAUAGAUGCAUUCAAAUUUGGUCAAAGUUGAGACAUCUUUUGUUGGACGAAGGGAGUAGCUU